GGCGGCGUGCCUAACACAUGCAAGUCGUACGAGAAAGUCCCGUUCGCGGGAUGAGUAAAGUGGCGCACGGGUGAGUAAUGCGUGGAUAAUCUGCCCUUUAGUUGGGAAUAACGUGCCGAAAGGUGCGCUAAUACCCGAUAAUACUGCACAACUACUGUUGUGUAGUCAAAGAAGGCCUCUGUUUACAAGCUUUUGCUGAAGGAUGAGUCCGCGUACCAUUAGCUGGUUGGUGGGGUAAUGGCCUACCAAGGCUACGAUGGUUAGCUGGUCUGAGAGGAUGAUCAGCCACACUGGAACUGAGACACGGUCCAGACUCCUACGGGAGGCAGCAGUGAGGAAUAUUGCGCAAUGGGGGCAACCCUGACGCAGCAACGCCGCGUGAGUGAGGAAGGUUUUCGGACCGUAAAGCUCUGUCGAGCGGGAAGAAAUGCAUGGUGGCUAAUAUCCAUCAUGCUUGACGGUACCGCUAAAGGAAGCACCGGCUAACUCCGUG
rnacentral:rRNA from 1 species